CAGGCCGGCCCAGCCCAGCCCGCUACUAUUCACCUUCUUCCUCCUCAGACCAGCCAAGCAUGCACACAAGGUGUUCGACGAUAUGUCAACCCAGGACGCCGAGUCGUGGCAGCACCGCGUCGCACCUAGCCGCCCUCCCGUGCACCGCACGUCGUGCCAACACCCGCGUCGCGCCACCCCCGAGCCACGCCAAAGCCGCAUCGCGCCAAACUCCACGAAAACCGCCGCGCCCUCUCCGGGUGACACGGAGCCACAUGGCCCCGCGUCACCCCCGUCCCGUCGCCAUCCAUUCCAUCCAUCGAGUCGCCAUCCCGUCGCCGUCGCGUCGACGCCAACGGAUAACGGCCGCCACGCCACCCCUCGUCAUCCCCGUUCCAUCGCCAUGUCGCGUCGCCACCACCGCUGACGCCGCGCCGUCCCAUCCCGAGCUCCCGCGGACGCGCGUCCCUUCGCCGUCGCCUCGUCGUCUUGUCGUCUGUCUCCUCCCGGGAAGCCGCCGAGCCGCGUCUCUCCCUCUCUCUUGCGUCGAGUCGCCACCGUCGCUUGCGUCACCCCUCUCUAGCCCUACCGCCCCAAAUCCCGGCCAUAGCCGUCGUCGGCCGUGCGUCACCCCCGUCUCGCCGCCGUUCCCGCUCUCCGCGCGUCACUUCGUGUCGCGUCGCCGUCGUUUCGCCGUCGCAUUGCCACCGGUGCAUGACGCCACUCCGUCGCGUCGCCAUCCUCUCCGCCCCGGAAUCCCGCCCUAGCUGCUAGCCGACUACCCCCGGAAUGCCGCGCCUAGACCGCCAGCUCGCCACCACGUCGCUCGCCUAUAAAAGGGGAAGCAGCCCGAGCUCCUUCUCCCCACACUAUCACCAUCCCAACCCAUCUCUCUCUCCUCCCUCUUUCUCUCGUUUUGCUCUCUGUUGCUGCCAGCCAGAGCCGCCGUGCUAUUCUCCCGGCGCCGCCGUCGCCGGUGGAGCCUCGCCGGAAUUCGCCGCUGCCCUCCCUCAGCCGCUGGUCGCCUCGCCGCGCCCCAUCGCCGCGACGCAUCGCUGUCCCAGGCCGAGCCGAGCAAAAGAGCGAGAGGAGGAAGAAACAGGCCUCCUCAAGCCUCUGCCAAGCCGGGCCCAGCGCCUCUUUUUCCUCCCUAGUCACUGACGGCCAGGCCCCAGCCCCUUUUUCCUCCAUCCAUCGCUGACAGAACCCGAGUACGAGGAAGCUCCGGACGCCGCUUUCGAAGGAGAAGACCCCAACCGUGUGCAAGGCAAGCCUCUUUGAUCACAUUGCCCCUAUAUUUGCAAAGAUAUGUUGAUUGAAAAAUGCAUUGUUUAGUUUACACGAUUAACAUGUUUAGGCCUCGGAUUGUUUAUACAACCGAUGGACCAACCCAGUAGUCGCACUUAUAUUACAUAGGUUGAUGUUUCCAUACCUUUGAUAGCUCCACAAAUAUUUGCGCCGGUAUGAUUAUUCGAUUACCGAGGUAGUUUCGCUUAGCCAUGCUUACAUUGUUGCCGUGUGGGAAACUUGGGUUAUUCCAAAUCCAUGUUUAAAAAUCCGGUACGUUGUACCGAGGAGUUGUGAAAUAAAAUGUGUUGUGAAAGUGGUGAUGAUGCGGAGUCAUGCCGUUGUGGUUUGGCUACGUAUUGUCAUUAAGGACCGAUUCCUUUGGGAAAUCCAUCCAAACACGUUACAGUGCGACCACACGGGUAUUUAUGGGAUGUCUCUGGCUAAGUAAAUUGUUUUCACAUGGGAGUUGGUGUGCCAAUGGUUGUGGAAUGCCGAGAAUGAGGAGACGAAGUGUUACACAUUUUUGCCCAUCGUGGGUGUCUUUUUGCCUCUAUUGUGGCGUGGUACCGGUAGGAGUAGGAGGUAUCCUCGGUAUUUCCUGAGUGGAUGAUGGCUAUCAUUGCCUGAUACUUGGCUAUGGAUCUUAGCCCAACUAGGUGGCAUGCGAUUUUCAUGGGUUAGCUUUGGAAAGGCCUUAUCACGAACUUUCGUUGCCGACGGGUAAACGAUGUCAGUUUCGUGUCGUGUGGGUAAAGCGUGCAACCUCUGCAGAGAUUAAUGAACUGUUCGAACAGCCGUGCCCACGGUCAAGGGCGAGUGUAAGGUGUUUCUCAUAGCGUAGAUUUGUUUGAAAAAUGUUUGUGAAGAAGUGAUUAUUGGGAAGGGUAACGUUGCCAGAGUCCGCCUGUGUGGCAGACGGCUAACCUGGGUGGUUAGGAACGGGUCUGUGUGACCUAGGGUGUCGUCCGACACCGAGGUGUUGUUAGGGCCAUGAUGAUGGCGUUGUUGUGCUGAGAUAUCUGUGUGGUCUAUGUGUUGCUGUGAGAAGAAACUAAUAGAGGAACAAAUUAAUUGUUGUUCGUUAAUCGUGACAAGUUGUUGCAAAGCAACUUGUGGAAUGGGUCGAGGCGUGAGCCUCCUCCCGACAACUAAAACUUGACUCAUUCACUAGGAGUUUUGUGAAAUAAAUCACUUUGCCAAAAAGGCAGCUUUCGCAAAUAAAACCUUAGCCUCAUUGUUUAAACCAAACAUGUCAUUUUUCCCCUGGCUUGCUGAGUACGUUAAGUAAUCACCCUUGCCCCUUAUAUCAAUAUAUAGAGUAUGAAGAUGAAGACGUCGACCCGACCGCCAAGGAGUAUCUCUAGGAGCAAGCCGAGUAUGAAGACUUCUAGAUGUUUCGUGCCUAGCCCCAAGCCUCGCCUGUGGAAUAAGAUAGAUGCCUAGGUUCUUCGCCUAGUGCAUAGUUGCAUGGAGCACUGUUCGCUUCUGCGCCGUCGCUUUUAUGGUUUUCUGUAAUGUUGUGUUGCUCAUUUAUGGGCCUUUCCAUGAUAGCAACUUAUGUAAGGACUACUACCCAGUGAUGUAAUAAAGCAGUUUACUUUGAUUCCACAUU